GAUGAAGGAACGUAGCGAAAUGCGAUAAGUAAUGUGAAUUGCAGAAUUCAGUGAAUCAUCGAAUCUUUGAACGCACAUUGCGCCCAUUAGUAUUCUAGUGGGCAUGCCUGUUCGAGCGUCAUUAAGUCCACUUAAGCCCUGCUUAGUGUUGGGAGACUGCUCCAGCGGUGCUACCCUGUAGCUACCCUGCAGCUCCUCAAAGACAGCGGCGGAGUUGUGGUAUCCUCUGAGCUUAGUAACUUGUUCUAGCUUUCGCGUACACCACUUCCCCUGCCGUAAAACCCUUAAUUUUUAAUGGUUGACCUCGGAUCAGGUAGGAAUACCCGCUGAACUUAAGCAUAUCAAUAAGCGGAGGA
rnacentral:misc_RNA from 1 species